GCCACCUCCCACCCGUGUUUAUUUUACCUUGUUGCUUCGGCGGGCCCGCCUUAACUGGCCGCCGGGGGGCUUACGCCCCCGGGCCCGCGCCCGCCGAAGACACCCUCGAACUCUGUCUGAAGAUUGUAGUCUGAGUGAAAAUAUAAAUUAUUUAAAACUUUCAACAACGGAUCUCUUGGUUCCGGCAUCGAUGAAGAACGCAGCGAAAUGCGAUACGUAAUGUGAAUUGCAAAUUCAGUGAAUCAUCGAGUCUUUGAACGCACAUUGCGCCCCCUGGUAUUCCGGGGGGCAUGCCUGUCCGAGCGUCAUUGCUGCCCUCAAGCACGGCUUGUGUGUUGGGCCCCGUCCUCCGAUCCCGGGGGACGGGCCCGAAAGGCAGCGGCGGCACCGCGUCCGGUCCUCGAGCGUAUGGGGCUUUGUCACCCGCUCUGUAGGCCCGGCCGGCGCUUGCCGAUCAACCCAAAUUUUUAUCCAGGUUGACCUCGGAUCAGGUAGGGAUACCCGCUGAACUUAAGCAUAUCAAUAAGCGGAGGAA
rnacentral:rRNA from 1 species